GCAGCUCUGACAGUAUCCAACUUGUGAAUAUUCCCAGAGUUUGACAAUAUGGGCUGAAAAUAUGGGAACCAGCCCAGGAAGUGGCUUGGCGUUCAUCGGCCAUGACACCCACGUUCCUGCAGUUCACCUGAACAUGUCAGGGGUGGUGGCACCAACCACGACUUAUCAGGACAGACAUUUAUUUCAAUGCUAGCGUGGUAACUUUGACUUCUUGUGAAACUUCUGGCACUCCCUACUUGAUGUUGUUUUUUUUAACCACACAGCUAUGGUGUUGCUAAAACGAUCCCGGGCUCCUGUCUUCAAAGCUGAUAGACCUUUUAAUUUUCUCCUUAGGCAAGGCAGAACAGGUUCAAUUCUAUUUAUAGGAAGACUUACAAAUCCUAUUGAGUGAACUUGUCCUACCCAUGCUUCCAUAUAUCUGCAUUCCCAUAAAAUAAAAAAGCAUUAAUAGGCCAUUUUAAGUGUUGUGACUAUCAAGGGGAAGUUAUGUGAAACUUAUGGCUGUAAAUAAAGAGAGAUGCUUUUUGCCA